rnacentral:rRNA from 6 species
GGUUAAGCGACUAAGCGUACACGGUGGAUGCCCUGGCAGUCAGAGGCGAUGAAGGGCGUGCUAAUCUGCGAUAAGCGCCGGUAAGGUGAUAUGAACCGUUAUAACCGGCGAUACCCGAAUGGGGAAACCCAGUGUGAUUCGUCACACUAUCAUUAACUGAAUCCAUAGGUUAAUGAGGCGAACCGGGGGAACUGAAACAUCUAAGUACCCCGAGGAAAAGAAAUCAACCGAGAUUCCCCCAGUAGCGGCGAGCGAACGGGGAGGAGCCCAGAGCCUGAAUCAGCAUGUGUGUUAGUGGAAGCGUCUGGAAAGGCGCGCGAUACAGGGUGACAGCCCCGUACACAAAAGCGCAUGUGCUGUGAGCUCGAUGAGUAGGGCGGGACACGUGGUAUCCUGUCUGAAUAUGGGGGGACCAUCCUCCAAGGCUAAAUACUCCUGACUGACCGAUAGUGAACCAGUACCGUGAGGGAAAGGCGAAAAGAACCCCGGCGAGGGGAGUGAAAAAGAACCUGAAACCGUGU